rnacentral:rRNA from 1 species
GACGAACGCUGGCGGCGUGCUUAACACAUGCAAGUCGAACGGAAAGGCCCUGCUUUUGUGGGUUGCUCGAGUGUCGAACGGGUGAGUAACACGUGAUUAACCUGCCCUUGACUUUUUGCUAACUUCAUGAAACUGGGGCUAAUACCGGAUAGGAUUUCCUGCUUCAUUGUGGGGGUUGGAAAGUUUCGGCGGUUGGGGAUGGACUCGCGGCUUAUCAGCUUGUUGGUGGGGUAGUGGCUUACCAAGGCUUUGACGGGUAGCCGGCCUGAGAGGGUGACCGGCCACAGUGGGACUGAGAUACGGCCCAGACUCCUACGGGAGGCAGCAGUGGGGAAUAUUGCACAAUGGGCGGAAGACUGAUGCAGCAACGCCGCGUGCGGGAUGACGGCCUUCGGGUUGUAAACCGCUUUCGCCUGUGACGAAGCGUGAGUGACGGUAAUGGGUAAAGAAGCACCGGCUAACUACGUG